GACGAACGCUGGCGGCGUGCUUAACACAUGCAAGUCGAACGGAAAGGCCCUGCUUUUGUGGGGUGCUCGAGUGGCGAACGGGUGAGUAACACGUGAGUAACCUGCCCUUGACUUUGGGAUAACUUCAGGAAACUGGGGCUAAUACCGGAUAGGAGCUCCUGCUGCAUGGUGGGGGUUGGAAAGUUUCGGCGGUUGGGGAUGGACUCGCGGCUUAUCAGCUUGUUGGUGGGGUAGUGGCUUACCAAGGCUUUGACGGGUAGCCGGCCUGCGAGGGUGACCGGCCACAUUGGGACUGAGAUACGGCCCAGACUGCUACUGGAGGCAGCAGUGGGGAAUAUUGCACAAUGGGCGGAAGCCUGAUGCAGCAACGCCGCGUGCGGGAUGACGGCCUGCGGGUUGUAAACCGCUUUCGCCUGUGACGAAGCGUGAGUGACGGUAAUGGGUAAAGAAGCACCGGCUAACUACGUG
rnacentral:rRNA from 1 species